UGGUGUGAUCAUACCAGCGUUAAUGCACCGGAUCCCAUCGGAACUCUGCAGUUAAGUGCGCUUGGGCUAGAGUAGUACUGGGAUGGGUGACCUCCCGGGAAGUCCUAGUGUUGCACCCU
rnacentral:rRNA from 1 species